UUCCACAUACUUUGUAAAGUAAAACAAGUUAUAUUUAAUAUGAAAUGUGAAAGUGAUUGUAAAUUUGCACUAAUUUAGUUGUCAUCAAUUGAUUAAAGAUUAUGAAUUUGUAACUUUAUAGGAAUAUGAAGUAAAGUUAUAACUCAUAUGAAAUUUAAAAGUCAAAACAAAUUGGUGACCUUUUAUAUUGUUAAAAUCAAACUCAUAUGAAAUUUAAAAGUCAAAACAAAUUGGUGACCUUUUAUAUUGUUAAAAUCAGAGGUAACAUUGAUGUAGAUUUGUAACACUUAACACUCCUUACUUCCUACUUAAAAAAUACAUCAUCAAUACAUACUUGUUAACCUUUUAUGCUCUACCAAAAUGGAAUAUGCUAAUAAAGCAAAACAAACAAGGUACCUGCAAUCAGUCGGGUCCCCGAUGAAUUUGGUACUGUUAGAGGAUCGGGAAAUGAUACUAACUGCUCAUCUCUAAUUAUGUGUUAAUUUUAUUAGCAAAAUCAAGAUUUAAUUCACAAUAUACAACAUCAAAAUCACGAAUUACACCACACUAGCAAUGGAACUCCUUGUCUGACAAGUUAUAUUGUUCACACACAC
rnacentral:lncRNA from 1 species